GGGGCUGUAGUUUAGUGGUAGAACAACGGGCUCCAGACCCGUAGGCCAGGGUUCGACUCCCUGCAGCCCCA
rnacentral:tRNA from 1 species